rnacentral:rRNA from 1 species
GAUGAACGCUGGCGGCGUGCCUAAUACAUGCAAGUCGAGCGAACGGACGAGAAGCUUGCUUCUCUGAUGUUAGCGGCGGACGGGUGAGUACCACGUGGAUAACCUACCUCUAAGACUGGGAUAACUUCGGGAAACCGGCGCUAAUACCGGAUGAUAUUUUGAACCGCAUGGUUCAAAAGUGAAAGACGGUCUUGCUGUCACUUAUAGAUGGAUCCGCGCUGCAUUAGCUAGUUGGUAAGGUAACGGCUUACCAAGGCAACGAUGCAUAGCCGACCUGAGAGGGUGAUCGGCCACACUGGAACUGAGACACGGUCCAGACUCCGACGGGAGGCAGCAGUAGGGAAUCUUCCGCAAGGGGCGAAAGCCUGACGGAGCAACGCCGCGGGAGUGAUGAAGGUCUUCGGAUCGUAAAACUCUGUUAUUAGGGAAGAACAUAUGUGUAAGUAACUGUGCCCAUCUUGACGGUACCUAAUCAGAAAGCCACGGCUAACUACGUG